rnacentral:tRNA from 1 species
GGGCACUUAGCUCAGUUUGGCAGAGCGUCUGACUCUUAAUCAGAUGGUCGUAGGUUCGAAUCCUACAGUGCCUG